rnacentral:rRNA from 1 species
GAUGAACGCUAGCUACAGGCUUAACACAUGCAAGUCGAGGGGUAACAUUGGCGGAGCUUGCUCUGCCAGAUGACGACCGGCGCACGGGUGAGUAACGCGUAUCCAACCUGCCCAUGGGUCAGGAAUAACCUUCCGAAAGGGAGCCUAAUACCUGAUGUUGUGAGAAGAAGGCCUCUGAUUUUCACGAAAGACUUCGGUCGCCGAUGGAUGGGGAUGCAUACGAUUAGGCAGCAGGCGGGGUAACGGCCCACCUGGCCAACGAUCGUUAGGGGUUCUGAGAGGAAGGUCCCCCACAUUGGAACUGAGACACGGUCCAAACUCC